GGGUUGUGAGGUUAAGCGACUAAGCGUACACGGUGGAUGCCCUGGCAGUCAGAGGCGAUGAAGGACGUGCUAAUCUGCGAAAAGCGUCGGUAAGGUGAUAUGAACCGUUAUAACCGGCGAUGUCCGAAUGGGGAAACCCAGUGCAAUUCGUUGCACUAUCGUUAACUGAAUACAUAGGUUAACGAGGCGAACCGGGGGAACUGAAACAUCUAAGUACCCCGAGGAAAAGAAAUCAACCGAGAUUCCCCCAGUAGCGGCGAGCGAACGGGGAGCAGCCCAGAGUCUGAAUCAGCUUGUGUGUUAGUGGAACGGUCUGGAAAGUCCGACGGUACAGGGUGAUAGUCCCGUACACCAAAAUGCACAGGCUGUGAACUCGAAGAGUAGGGCGGGACACGUGGUAUCCUGUCUGAAUAUGGGGGGACCAUCCUCCAAGGCUAAAUACUCCUGACUGACCGAUAGUGAACCAGUACCGUGAGGGAAAGGCGAAAAGAACCCCGGCGAGGGGAGUGAAAAAGAACCUGAAACCGUGUACGUACAAGCAGUGGGAGCACCUUCGGGUGUGACUGCGUACCUUUUGUAUAAUGGGUCAGCGACUUAUAUUCUGUAGCAAGGUUAACCGUAUAGGGGAGCCGCAGGGAAACCGAGUCUUAACUGGGCGUUAAGUUGCAGGGUAUAGACCCGAAACCCGGUGAUCUAGCCAUGGGCAGGUUGAAGGUUGGGUAACACUAACUGGAGGACCGAACCGACUAAUGUUGAAAAAUUAGCGGAUGACUUGUGGCUGGGGGUGAAAGGCCAAUCAAACCGGGAGAUAGCUGGUUCUCCCCGAAAGCUAUUUAGGUAGCGCCUCGUGAAUUCAUCUUCGGGGGUAGAGCACUGUUUCGGCUAGGGGGUCAUCCCGACUUACCAACCCGAUGCAAACUACGAAUACCGAAGAAUGUUAUCACGGGAGACACACGGCGGGUGCUAACGUCCGUCGUGAAGAGGGAAACAACCCAGACCGCCAGCUAAGGUCCCAAAGUCAUGGUUAAGUGGGAAACGAUGUGGGAAGGCACAGACAGCCAGGAUGUUGGCUUAGAAGCAGCCAUCAUUUAAAGAAAGCGUAAUAGCUCACUGGUCGAGUCGGCCUGCGCGGAAGAUGUAACGGGGCUAAACCAUGCACCGAAGCUGCGGCAGCGACACUAUGUGUUGUUGGGUAGGGGAGCGUUCUGUAAGCCUGCGAAGGUGUGCUGUGAGGCAUGCUGGAGGUAUCAGAAGUGCGAAUGCUGACAUAAGUAACGAUAAAGCGGGUGAAAAGCCCGCUCGCCGGAAGACCAAGGGUUCCUGUCCAACGUUAAUCGGGGCAGGGUGAGUCGACCCCUAAGGCGAGGCCGAAAGGCGUAGUCGAUGGGAAACAGGUUAAUAUUCCUGUACUUGGUGUUACUGCGAAGGGGGGACGGAGAAGGCUAUGUUAGCCGGGCGACGGUUGUCCCGGUUUAAGCAUGUAGGCUGGUUGUCCAGGCAAAUCCGGAUAAUCAAGGCUGAGGUGUGAUGACGAGGCACUACGGUGCUGAAGUAACAAAUGCCCUGCUUCCAGGAAAAGCCUCUAAGCAUCAGGUAACAUUAAAUCGUACCCCAAACCGACACAGGUGGUCAGGUAGAGAAUACCAAGGCGCUUGAGAGAACUCGGGUGAAGGAACUAGGCAAAAUGGUGCCGUAACUUCGGGAGAAGGCACGCUGGUGUGUAGGUGAAGUCCCUGCGGAUGGAGCUGAGACCAGUCGAAGAUACCAGCUGGCUGCAACUGUUUAUUAAAAACACAGCACUGUGCAAACACGAAAGUGGACGUAUACGGUGUGACGCCUGCCCGGUGCCGGAAGGUUAAUUGAUGGGGUUAUCCGUAAGGAGAAGCUCUUGAUCGAAGCCCCGGUAAACGGCGGCCGUAACUAUAACGGUCCUAAGGUAGCGAAAUUCCUUGUCGGGUAAGUUCCGACCUGCACGAAUGGCGUAAUGAUGGCCAGGCUGUCUCCACCCGAGACUCAGUGAAAUUGAACUCGCUGUGAAGAUGCAGUGUACCCGCGGCAAGACGGAAAGACCCCGUGAACCUUUACUAUAGCUUGACACUGAACAUUGAGCCUUGAUGUGUAGGAUAGGUGGGAGGCUUUGAAGCGUGGACGCCAGUCUGCGUGGAGCCAACCUUGAAAUACCACCCUUUAAUGUUUGAUGUUCUAACGUUGGCCCCUUACCGGGGUUGCGGACAGUGUCUGGUGGGUAGUUUGACUGGGGCGGUCUCCUCCCAAAGCGUAACGGAGGAGCACGAAGGUUAGCUAAUCCUGGUCGGACAUCAGGAGGUUAGUGCAAUGGCAUAAGCUAGCUUGACUGCGAGCGUGACGGCGCGAGCAGGUGCGAAAGCAGGUCAUAGUGAUCCGGUGGUUCUGAAUGGAAGGGCCAUCGCUCAACGGAUAAAAGGUACUCCGGGGAUAACAGGCUGAUACCGCCCAAGAGUUCAUAUCGACGGCGGUGUUUGGCACCUCGAUGUCGGCUCAUCACAUCCUGGGGCUGAAGUAGGUCCCAAGGGUAUGGCUGUUCGCCAUUUAAAGUGGUACGCGAGCUGGGUUUAGAACGUCGUGAGACAGUUCGGUCCCUAUCUGCCGUGGGCGCUGGAGAAUUGAGGGGGGCUGCUCCUAGUACGAGAGGACCGGAGUGGACGCAUCACUGGUGUUCGGGUUGUCAUGCCAAUGGCACUGCCCGGUAGCUAAAUGCGGAAGAGAUAAGUGCUGAAAGCAUCUAAGCACGAAACUUGCCCCGAGAUGAGUUCUCCCUGAGACUUUAAGUCUCCUGAAGGAACGUUGAAGACGACGACGUUGAUAGGCCGGGUGUGUAAGCGCAGCGAUGCGUUGAGCUAACCGGUACUAAUGAACCGUGAGGCUUAACCUUACAACGCCGAAG
rnacentral:rRNA from 1 species